rnacentral:rRNA from 1 species
AUUGAACGCUGGCGGCAUGCCUUACACAUGCAAGUCGAACGGCAGCACGGGUGCUUGCACCUGGUGGCGAGUGGCGAACGGGUGAGUAAUACAUCGGAACGUACCUUAUCGUGGGGGAUAACGCAGCGAAAGUUGCGCUAAUACCGCAUACGCCCUGAGGGGGAAAGCGGGGGACCGUAAGGCCUCGCGCGAUUAGAGCGGCCGAUGUCUGAUUAGCUUGUUGGUGAGGUAAAAGCUCACCAAGGCGAUGAUCAGUAGCUGGUCUGAGAGGACGAUCAGCCACACGGGGACUGAGACACGGCCCAGACUCCUACGGGAGGCAGCAGUGGGGAAUUUUGGACAAUGGGGGCAACCCUGAUCCAGCAAUGCCGCGUGAGUGAAGAAGGCCUUCGGGUUGUAAAGCUCUUUUAUCAGGGAAGAAACAGCAGCUCUAACACAGUCUGCGAAUGACGGUACCUGAAGAAUAAGCACCGGCUAACUACGUGCCAGCAGCCGCCGCCG